GAAGCUAGUUGUGCCUGUUAUCGGGCUGACGGCAGUGCACCGAGGUGCUGCCUUUGACCAUUACGGCUGUUUUUGGGUGGAAUGAUGUUAGCUGUCGCUGUGGAGGACUGGAAUUUACACAAACGCAUCGUACUGAGGUUUUUGUUCAGCGUCGGGGUGCGACCUGCCCUGCUGAUGUUGGGUUUCGAUUGUGACGGCAUUCCUCUCAAUGUGGAUCAGUAACACAGCCACUACGACCAUGAUGGUGCCAAUAGUCCAGGUGGUGCUGAAGCAACUCUCAACAGCAGGAGGAGAAGAGUCUCUUGGGACUUCGGAAACCCACAGCAAAGAGACGAUAAAGCUGUGUGUCUGUUAUGGUGCUAGCAUUGGUGGAACUGCUACAAUAACAGGCACUGGGCCCAAUCUGGUCCUCACAGGACAAAUGAACCAGCCAACAAGAUAUUUCAUCUUUGGCCGUCUCGCUUCCCCCACCCGCCUCGCCCUGUGCCUUGCUUUCUCCCCACCUGCCUUGCCCUGUGCCUUGCUCUGCACAGACUAGACAGCAGAGGACAUAAGACGACAAGGAUUCACGGCUAAAUAGACAAGGCAAUUAGACUAGACAUGAGGAACAGGUGUGCUGAGGCGGGGAGGAAAAGACAAGGGCGGGGCAGACAUGUGACGCAAAAACAAAAGCGAGGCACACGGAGGAGGUCCAGGAGAGGGGUGCAGGGCACACGGCGGAGGUCCAGGAGGGGGGGAUCUUUUUCAUCAAAAAGAUGAUCAGAAUUAGUUGUGCAUGUUUGGUCAAAAUUUAUCCUUAAUUUUAAUCACUGUUGAAAAGGAGUGUUGUCCAGCCGUCCACAUAACCUGGGUCGCGACUGAACCAUAGAACCACUAGCAGGACCAAGAGUGUUAAUGGGGGCGUAUUUGUCCAAAGGACAUGGGCCCAAGUCUACGAUGCUCCUCGCAGAUCUUAUUAUACGCAGCGUUCUCUCUUAGUCCUCACCGUUCCACAGCCCCACGUUUUUCUGAAACUAGAUCGAGAGAUAUCAGUAUGGUGUCAUAAUAUACAAACUAGUGCUGCACGAUUAAUCGUAUCGCGAUAUCAAGCCUGUGUACGGAGCCCGCCUGGUCACCCCUUGGAGAAAAAAAAACAGACCCGCAAAUCUGUGAUUACGGUUUUGUAAUUCGUCCCCUCGGUUUAUAAAUCGUACUCACGGAUUAAUAAACCGUACGCACGAGUUAACAAUCCGUGCUCUCAGAUUUGUAACCCGUACCCACAAAGUAAUAAACUGUGUGCAUGCUUUCGCAAUCUGUACCCACGGUUUUGCAAACUGUACUCACGGAUUUGUAGCCCCUCCCUCAUUUCAGACAUCUGUAAUCCACAAGCAUGACAACAGAACAAGAUUCCGGGUGUUUAAAGCUGGCCUCUAUCAACCUUGACAUCAGAUUAUUCCUGGGAUAGGAUGGACAGAUUUAGUCUAAUUCAGUAUUACUUUGACCUGGGUCUACAUUAUAAAGAAAUCCUUAAAUUUUUAAGUGUUAUACAUGGAAUUAGUAUCAGCAUGAAGACACUUAAAAAAAAUCCUAAAUAGAAAUGGACUAUUUCGAAGAAAAAAUUGACAACUUAUUUAAUGUUAUUUAGUUUGUAAGGGAGGCGCUCCAAGGCUCAGGACCAUUGCAUGGAUAUAGAUGGAUGUAUAGUAAAUGCAAGGAAAGAGGAUUUCAUGUGCGCAAAGAAGACAUCCGCCUCAUUCCGUCAACUCUUGAUCCAUUGGGCACAGAAAUGCGAAGAAAAAGAAGACUGCACAGGAUAGUGUACUUUUCAAAAGGCCCCAAUUUUGUGUGGCGUGUUUACUCUUGCGACAAAUUGAAGCCAUUUGGCAUAUGUAUCAAUGGGGCUAUUGAUGGAUUCUCAAGGAAAAUACUAUGGCUGAAUGCAUAUUGCACAAGCAGUGACCCUAAAGUCAUAGGAGGUUACUUCCUUGAAACAGUAAGAACUUUUGGUGGCUCGCCUCAAAUCCUGAGAGCAGACAUGGGAACAGAAAAUAGUGUUAUUAGGGAUGUUCAAAGGUACUUGCGACGUGGUGAUGCCGAUCAACUUGCUGGAGAAAGAAGCUUCAUCUAUGGCAAAAGUACAGCCAACCAAAGAAUUGAGAGCUGGUGGGGUAUUCUUGGAAAAGAAUGUGUGGAUUUAUGGCUUGAAUAUUUUCACCAGAUUAAAGAUGAAGGCUACUUCGAUGGCAGCUUUCUGGACAAGAACCUUGUUAUUCUGUUUCCUGGGUUUGAUCCAGGAAGAGCUGGAUUCGACCAAAGACCCGUGGAACAGCCACCUGAUUCGUCCAUUAAGAAAUAGCCUUGUACCCCAUGGUCGGCCGGAUGUCAUGUACACCCUUCCUGAAUUGUAUGAGACGGAAGACUACAUAAGCCAAGUGCCAGUGGAAGACUGACACCUGUGAAGAUCAAUGUAUACAUCGGUCUGACAUCCCUUGUGAUGAGGACAUUUUCACCCUGUGUUCACACAUCAUGGCACAUCAGCAGCUUCGUAUUCCCAAGGAAAGGUUUACAGCACUUAAUCUGUAUCUUGCACUAAGACAAGAGCUUACUACGGUGUUAAAUAUUGUGAGAUAAAGACAUGUUAAGCCAUUAGCACUAAAAAGUUGUUAUGGACAGUUUAACAGACAGUUCUUUCAUUAAAUUAUUAUUAUUAGAGUUCCAUUCAUUUCACAGAUGUAGAUACGUCUUAAAUGUAAUUGAUAAAGUCUUGUAUACUUCAUAUGCAUAGUUUAAUAAAAGGAGACAGCUUUCUUUUUGA